ensembl:lncRNA
CCGGGGAGUAAAGUUAGAGCUUCACAUAAAUUGCCUUGGUUCAUGCACAGUCUAGUCUGAUAUGUCAGUGUUUUCCCCACUAGGUAACAAAAGUCAGGUGUAAAGUACAGCAACGGCGCAGCAAGCUUCACAGGAGUACAGCGCUGUUCACGACGGGAGGAAAGAGGGACGGUUCACCUCGCGGCUCUCCUUCGCGCGGGUGUCGGCGGGGGCGCCAUCUUGCAAAAGCUCAGUCGUCCAGUUCUCGCUGUUUCUGCGCAGUUUUCGAUCGCCUCACGCGGAGCCGCCUCCACCUGCGCUUACAGCCCUGGCAACAAAUUUCAUUAUUUUAAAGAGUUGUAUGGAUCUGGAUACAUCUGGACCCAGCUACACAUCUGAUUCUACUGUUGGCUGUUCCUCUGUCCAUGGGGAUUCUCAAGGCACGAAUGGUGGAGUGGUUUGCCAUGCCCUCCUCCAGGGAACUGAUCGCUCUAUAUGAUGGUAAAAAUCAGCAUCAAGAGAAAGAACAUGGAAUCUGCUCGAUCUCUUAGAAGCAAAGUUCUGAACUGACACAGCAUCAUUUCCACUGCAUUCUCUUUGCUACUGUGAAUCAUAAACCAAGAGCCUUGAUGUCCUCUGCUCCAGCUGAUGGAUGGAAAAUGAGAUCAUGCAACCUAGAAGUUAACACAUGUCACUUCAGCUCACAUUCCAUUGAUUUCAGGCAGCAGCUUCUUGCUUAAGUUCCCACAGAACCCUUGGAUGAGCUUUGUCGAGGAUUCAGACCCAACUCAUGUAAAGUUGUCACAUGCACCCUCACUUCUUCUAGUAACUUUGUUAUACUUUUGUUUUUUAAAUUCAUUUUCCUAAUGACUGUACUUGUUUUGCUUUUUUAUUACUUUGGUAGAUUGAUUGGUUUUCUGACAGGAUAUGCCAGGGUAGCAAAUCACCACUUUAUUUUUAGAGCAACACUGAAUGUUGCUCUAAAUGAGAUUAAUGUUCACAUCUCAAGACAUCCAUUAGUGGGAAACGCAAGUGGACGUGAUAAGGUGAAUAAAGAAGGGACAGAGGGGACAGAGAUUGAGAUGUGUGAAAGGCAUUUUAUAAUUUAUGAAAAUAAUUAUGUUUAAAGUCUGCGUUUGGAUGUAUCUUGGACUUUGAAAUUAUCAUAGACAUGUUUAUUCCAUAUUCUCAAAUCUGAGUGGAAAAGAUAGAAACAAAAUAGUCUUUCUUCUUCAGACUGCCAGAGGUUCUCAUACAUCUUCUGAAUCAACAGAUAGACUUCUCUAUUUCUUGUUAUGUGUGUGUGUAUGCUGUGUGCUAGGCCACGUCUGGCUCUUUGCGACCCCAUGGGCUAUAGCCCGCCAGACGCCUCUGUUCAUGGGAUUUUCCAGGCGAGAAUACUGGAGUGGGUUGUCAUUCCUUACUCCAGGGGAUCUUCCCAACCCAGAGAUUGAACCCAUGUCUCUUGCAUCUCCUGUAUUAGCAGGUGGACUUUUUACCACUGCACCACUUGGAAGCUCCAUUUCUUCUUAUGAAUGUGGCCAAAUAAUAAAUACCCUCAUAACUGACCUUGGCUCCUCUGCAACUUUAAAACAGCUCUUCAGUUUCAACCAGAGGUCUCUUCUCCUCUCUCUGUCCCUCUUGUUCUUCUCUUUCUCCUUUUUAUCUCUCUUAUCACUUCUGUUUCAGGUCAAGCUGCUUGCAUAGAUUUGCUUUAGAAUCUAGCACUAGAGUUCUGCAGAGAAACAGAACCAGUGAGAUAUAUAGUUGUGUAUAUAGCUUUAGAUAUGGAAAGAUUUAUUAUGGAGAAUUGGCUCAUACAGUUAUGGAAGCUGAGAAGUCCUACAAUGUGCUGUCUGCAAGGCGGAGGCCCAGAGAAGCCAGUGGUAUAAUUCCAGUCUGAGUCUGAAUGCCUGAGAGCCAGGGGGCCGGAUGGUAUAAUAUAAACCCCAGUCCAAGGGCAGGAGAAGUUCAAAGUCCCAGUUCAAGCAGACAGACAGGAAGCAAAGGGGGAUAAUUCCUUCUUUCUCUGCCUUUUCUUUUUUUUUCCUAUUCAGGUCCUCAAAGAAUGGUGCUCACUCACUUUGGAGAGGGUGAUCUACUUUACUGAGUGCCCUGAUUCAAAUGUUGUUCUCAUCAGAAACAUUCUUACAUACACACCCAGUAAUAAUUUUUAACCUGGAAGCCUACUGGCCCAGUCAGGAUGACAGAUAAAAUUAACCACUGCACAUCAUUACAAGGAGUUGAAAAGAACACUUGGAGUAUGAGGGCUUUCAUGGAGCAAAACAUGAAGAUAGAUGCGCUCCCUUCACUGCUAAAGUAGCCUUUGGUCCCAGUCUCUGCCACUAGGUGUCGCUAGGUAAUCUAAGCAAACACCCAAUUUAUGACUCCAACAAAUGUGCCGACAUUGAGCUGAAUGAGGCAGAAAUAAAAAUUAAGGUGAUGUGGUCUAAAUAAAAUCUUGUGUAUUACUUACAACAGCUGUUUAAAAACAGCACAGUGUGUCUCUGGACUAUAAAUUGGAAAAGUCAUGAAUUAGCAAAAGCAUGUGAAGGAGCUUAGUCUUUAUUGGGAAAAAUGAAUAAAUCCUGCGUAUUCUAUGAGUCUUUCCUUUUUCCUCUACUGGUAAAUUGGUCACCCUGCUGCCAGCAUUUUCAUGAGUAUAACUAGUUUUAUGUGGUCUAAACUUAUUGCUGGGCUGUUAGCAUCUGCUGAGGUCACUGUACUACCCCUGAUCCUUUAUUGGCUCAUAUGCUCAUAUAUUUUAUUGUCAAACUUUUUAAAAGACUCUUUUUGAGGGUGCAGACCUGAACUACCUAAAAAGCAAGGUCAGUAAACAUAAUUCCUAACCUUAUGAACAUCUCUGGGUGAAUUCUUAUUCACCCUUCCAGUCUAUCAGACCUGAUGCUCAGGCAGCUCUUCCUCUUUCUUCUCUCCCAUAGCACAACUCUGUAUCUUCCACAAGGCAUUUUUCACCUUACCUGGCAAUUAAUGUUUCAUGUACCUGUCUUCUCCACAGACUGUGAGCUCCCUAAGGAGAGGGAACAGUCUAGGGCAGCCACAUCUCCACAAAACUCAGUGCUGUUGCCUCUGCUGCCUCUCUGCUUCUGGCUCAUCUGCUGAUUUAGAGGCAUAACGAGUGAGGGAGCAAUUACCAGUGCCCUUCAGCACUUCACUAGAACCUUCUCUCAUGUCAUUUCAGCAGGAGGUAAACUGAGUGUGUGUGUUCCAUGUUUUUAUUAUACUGUGUGCUUAGGAAGAAUAAUUAAGGCCUCACUAAAUUGAUGUGGAAAGAGGUUUUUGUUUUGUUUGAAUGGUGUCUUUAAAUAUUUGUGAAAGGAGUUACUUAUUAUUCAUCCAUUGCCAAUCCAUUUAAAAACAGUUACACAGUAGAGAAGAGGGGGUUAUGUUAAUAAAAGUUGCUAAAUCAAUAUUUAACUUAGGGGGAAGUUUUUAAGCAAAUUGCUUCACUUUUCCUUCCUAGGAGAAACAACUUGAGAUUAGGAAACAUCUUUUCUUAAAGAGAUGAAUGGACUUGCAUAAUCAAACAAAUAUAUCCAAAUGUUGCCAGUAGUUACAUCUAAAUUUUCUACAUAUUCUUAGUUUUAUAAAAUAAGUGUAAAUUAGUUUAAGAAAUUAAUGGUGAAAUUCAGUACUCAUUUACUUAAUGGUUCGUGUGUGCCUGGUACUAUGUUGAAACGGGGAGAUCGAUCGCAUGGCUAGUUGUUUCCCCCUCCAGAAAGAAGCUCAUGGUAGGUAGGGCCAUGUAAACAGUGAAUCUAAAUAUAGUUUGCUAACAGCCAGAAAUCAAGAGAUUUAAUUAAUCCCACACAGGAGGAUGAGACUGUCAGGGAGGUUUCACUGAGAGGCAUGGCAUUUGAACUGGAAUUUUACCAUCUGUGAAAUCAAGAAGCUUUACAGUUUCUACUUCAUGGCUUAGCUAAAUUGAAUCACUAAGAGAUUUCAGCAGUACUUACAUUUUUAAAAGCCUA